rnacentral:misc_RNA from 1 species
GUAGGUGAACCUGCGGAAGGAUCAUUACAAAUUAUGGCGAACUUCGCGUCUCGCGAGGUUUUGCGUCCAAACUUAUUUAAAACAUCCCACUCUAAAAAAAAAAAUUAUCUAAUGAUAUAUAAAAAGAUCACUUUCAACAACGGAUCUCUUGGUUCUC